CAGGCACUACCCUGAAGAUGAGAUAGAAUAAAGCUUUCCUUCAUUUUGCCCUUGGUCAUGAAGGUSAAGCCUGGCAAAGUGCUGCUGGAUGGAUGGAGUUACUUGAACUACUGUGCUCAGGCUGAAACAACUGCUGAGUUCCACCAGGGGCUGCUGUUGAACUUCUAAAAAAGAUCAUAUUUUGGAGGAGAAG